rnacentral:tRNA from 1 species
GGGGAUGUUGACAUGAUGGACAGUCUGCGGGCUGUUUGCCUCUCCCGCUGAACGUCGGUUCGAUUCCGGCCAUCCUCUCCA